CCGUCCCCCCACCGCGACCUGGCCAAGGCCCAGGAGGGUGGCGCCAAGCUCCAGCGAGACCUCAAGGAGGCGCUGGCGCAGCGGGAGGACAUGGAGGAACGCAUCACCACGCUGGAGAAGCGCUACCUGAGCGCCCAGCGUGAGGCCACCUCGCUGCACGAUGCCAACGACCGCCUGGAGAACGAGCUGGCCAGCAAGGACUCACUCUACCGCCAGAGCGAGGAGAAGGGCCGCCAGCUG